GAUCGAUUAUGAAACCAUGAUCGUGUGGGUUUAUUUAUUUUUUGUGGUUAUGGCAGCAUUUGGUUAGCAUUACAACUUUUAAAUAUUGAUUAUGAUGAACUAUGCAUGUGCAUAAUGAAACACCUGUUCUUGUCGCAGGUCCUGGCAUAUACAGGUAGAUACAACAAUAAAAUGCUCACUACUGUUUCACCAUGCGAGAAUGCAUGAGAAAAGUCAGGAAUCGAUCAAAAGAAUCAAAAUGCGUGCAUCGUAACGAAUCCCCGGUUCUUUAAAGUUUUAAUCGGUUCUAAAAUGAAACUGAUUCUUCAUACCCAACCCUAGACUCUGUCUUUGUUCACCAGUGGUCCCUUUUUUCCCUGUGACGGAGCAUGUUGUCAUUUUUUCUAAGGUGGAAAUGGAGUCCAUCACAGUUCUGAGUAACAUAAGUGUAUGGAAUUGAAACGACAUAAGGGUUGAUGAUGACAAGGUGAUGACACAAAGGAGCUUCCAUUGCCUUUAUUGCAACUAGGACUGACAAUAAUGUCUGCAAACCCUUCUCCAAAUAUUAAGUCUUAUUCUAUUACAACAUUGCCACCUGCCAGCAACCAAAUAUCUGUUUAAAAAUAUGUUGUCAAUUUUUGUAAAUAGAUCAUUUUGUCAAAAUAAAGAUUAAAAAAAUCUGCCACCACAUUUGUGUGUAUAUUGCCUUUAUGCAGAUUUCAAAUGUAUUUAUAUAAUUUAUCAUUGGAACCAAAGUACACAUUAUCACACUUGUUGAUGCACAGUAAAGCCAAAAGUUGAUGUUUACGCAAACAUUAGCCUACUUGUGGUUUGGUAACAUGUGAUCCACAUGUUGAAACUAUUGCAUUAUAUAAGACAUUUCUCACAUGUGCUUUAUGUUAUAACAUGUUCCACAUGUGCGCUAUUAUGUUGCAGCAUGUGGUGAGAUGUUGUUCACACGUGGUAAUAUUGUCCACAUGUGAGCACAUAUUUUCCACAUGUGAGCAUAAAUUGUCCACAUGUGAGCACAUA